rnacentral:rRNA from 1 species
CGACGAAAGACGUGAUAGCCUGCGAAAAGCUUCGGGGAGCUGGCAAAUAAGCUUUGAUCCGGAGGUAUCUGAAUGGGGAAACCCACCUAGCGAUAGGUAUCGUUGACUGAAUACAUAGGUCAACGAAGCGAACCGGGUGAACUGAAACAUCUCAGUAGCUCGAGGAAAAGACAUCAACCGAGAUUCCGAAAGUAGUGGCGAGCGAAAUUGGAAAAGCCUUGCAGUGAUAGCGCGCUGGUUAGCAAAACGGGAUGGAAAGCCCGGCCAUAGCAGGUGAUAGCCCUGUAUGCGAAAGCCAACGUGUGGUACUAGGCUGCAGACAAGUAGGGCGGGGCACGAGAAACCCUGUCUGAACAUGGGGGGACCAUCCUCCAAGGCUAAAUACUCAUCAUCGACCGAUAGUGAACCAGUACCGUGAGGGAAAGGCGAAAAGAACCCCGGGAGGGGAGUGAAAUAGAUCCUGAAACCGCAUGCUUACAAAAAGUAGGAGCCCGCAAGGGUGACUGCGUACCUUUUGUAUAAUGGGUCAG